rnacentral:lncRNA from 8 species
GCUUUAAAUGCUAAUUUGCCAUCUCUGGCUACCCAGAGUUCGCUCUCAAAUUUCAAAAAAAGUAGCUAUGAACUCACAUUUCCCAUUUGAGACAGACAGGUGUUAAAAAUACAAAUAAUGUAAGUAGCUAACGUAACUAUUAUCUUGCUAGCCAGCUAGCUAAUGUUAACUGCUUGCUAUUGUUCCAGUCAGAUGUCACAAUGACAGCUGUAAUCUUGGCAUCGCAUGAGCUACUCUCGUGAGGUGAUGAAGAACUGCACAGGGAUGAGGAGAGCAGCCAAAAUGAAGCUCUCCACUUCCAGCAAUUGUUUCUGCCUGAGUCUUAUCUAGCAGCCCUCCCUUUCCCAAGGGUAAUGUGCCCUGUUCUCUGAAGACUCCAUCAUAUUAGUGAACACACUGCAUAGCAGCUAGAUCCUCACUCUGGGUGGAACAUGGUGACCACAUGACCAGUCUCACACGUUCUCAUGUGGUCAGGAACAAAAGGAGAAGGAAGAAUGUUGUUCUUCACAGAUCACGGCGUAAGUAGUGGGUCUCACCUAUCAGUUGUCCAGGGGCCAUGAGGGAACACAGCCCAGAUUGGCUCUGCGGUACUGCACUGCUGCUCAACUCCUCAGAAUGGUAGGUCAUGCAGGUCUUGAGUUGUGAUGGGCGGAAAGGUGAGGCAGGAUGUUCUUAUUUACAGUUCCUGCCACAGAGAGCUGCCAGAGCCAUUUGUUGCAGUGAUUGAGGAAAACAGUCUGCUGCACAUCCACACGCCAUGGGGUGCUGCUUGGGAACAGAGGUCUCCUGCCACGUACAAAGUGUUGCCGUGAAUUCUUUCAAAGGUUAUUCACGUCAUUCAAAACCAAUAAAACAAUGCAAAUGUUUGAUGUAGAAUAGGUGAGGCCAACACGUCAUCAAUAAAUAUAUAUAUAAUGUAGGCUAUUCACAUGUCAUAUACAGUGAAAUAAUGUAGAACUUGAUUCUAGAACGUCACACUGUCACUGCAGUUUGUCUUUGACGUUGCGUCCUUC